GGAAUAUGCCACUGAAUCAUAUUGAGAAUGCCUCAGAACUUGAAAAUAAGAGAAGUGAUAGGGUAAACUUAUCAGAGGCCAAUUGCGAGAGAUUGUGCAAAGGUUCAAACUUGCCUCAUGUUGGAGUUUUAUGAAGUUUGACGUCGAACUUUUUCAUUGUAAACAUUGUACUCAUGUGUAGCUAGCUAGGAAUGCUUUCUUGUUUGGUACAUUAUCUAGUUACUUGAAUGUAUGGAUGUUUGAGAAAUGGUAAUUGAAUGAUAUAGAUUAGAGUA